rnacentral:pre_miRNA from 1 species
UUAACUCAAAUUUGUAUGCAGUUUGAACGUAUGCUUACGUUAGCCGCUGUUCGAAUUCCAUACAAAUUGGAGUUA